rnacentral:piRNA from 2 species
UAGACGCACAAACACUUCCAACUACUCCGC